rnacentral:rRNA from 1 species
AUUGAACGCUGGCGGCAGGCCUAACACAUGCAAGUCGAGCGAGCGGCGGACGGGUGAGUACUGCCUUGGAAUUGCCCAGUCGAGGGGGAUAACAGUUGGAAACGACUGCUAAUACCGCAUAUGAUUGGAUUGCCCAGGUGGGAUUAUCUAGUUGGUGAGGUAAUGGCUCACGAAGGCGACGAUCCCUAGCUGGUCUGAGAGGAUGAGCAGCCAAACUGGAACUGAGACACGGGCCAGACUCCUAGGAGAGGAAGCAGUGGGGAAUAAUGCACAUUGGGGGAAACCCUUAUGCAGCCAUGGCGCGUGUGUGAAGAAGGCCUUCGGGUUGUAAAGAACUUUAAGCGAGUAGGCGUUACGCGAAGAAGAAGCACCGGCUAACUCCGUGCCAGCAGACGCGGUAAUAC